rnacentral:lncRNA from 1 species
CGGCGAUGAUAACCAUGUCAAAGGGUGAGAUUUAUCUUCACCCUUAAAAUAUGGCUAAUAAUACUUAGCUUAUACUCUUUGCAUGCAUAGCAACAGAAUAGUAGGUUGAUCACAAGAAAACUAUGGAGUUGAGACAUCAGGGGGAACAGAGACCUAGUGUUCAUCUCUGAUUGAUUACAACUUAAAAGCACUUAAGAAUUUUUUACUCUUUGAUAUUGAUAACAAUUCCUCCGCC